rnacentral:rRNA from 1 species
UACGUAGGGCGCAAGCGUUGUCCGGAAUUAUUGGGCGUAAAGAGCUCGUAGGCGGUUUGUCGCGUCUGCUGUGAAAACCUGAGGCUCAACCUCGGGCUUGCAGUGGGUACGGGCAGACUAGAGUGCGGUAGGGGUGACUGGAAUUCCUGGUGUAGCGGUGGAAUGCGCAGAUAUCAGGAGGAACACCGGUGGCGAAGGCGGUUCUCUGGGCCUGUACUGACGC